rnacentral:rRNA from 1 species
UACGGAGGGGGCUAGCGUUGUUCGGAAUUACUGGGCGUAAAGCGCGCGUAGGCGGCUUUGUAAGUUAGAGGUGAAAGCCCAGGGCUUAACCCUGGAAUUGCCUUUAAGACUGCAUCGCUAGAAUCGUGGAGAGGUGAGUGGAAUUCCGAGUGUAGAGGUGAAAUGCGUAGAUAUCGGAAGGAACACCAGUGGCGAAAGCGGCUUCCUGGUCCGACACCGACGUUCAGGCACGAAAGCGUGGGGAGCAAACAGG